CCUGGAGGGAAGAGAGGGAAGAGAGAGGAUGGUUGGUGACAAAGGCCACGUACCAGGGCCAAGAAAAGUACCCCUAAGUGCAGCCCCCUCCACAAUCGGAAAUGCCCCUUGUGUCUCUAAGGAACUACCUCUAACUCAGCCCUGGCAAGCCCCCUCCCACAAACCAGCCACCUGGCUUUACUUUGGCCCCAUGCGUAAGAAACUACAAAGUCCUAACCUAUAAAAAAUUGUUAUACAUGCACCCUACUCCAUGCGGACCCCUGGAAUGCACCCCCAUAUCCUGUCUCCAAAGCUACCACUUUUAUCCAUAAAAUCUAACUUUUUUACCUCCCCAGUAGAUUCCUCAGCUAAAAAGAUCUCCCGUAACUCCGACUUCUCUAGAUUCCCUUUCCCCCCAAACAAGAACAGGUAAACCUCAGGAGACUCUGAGUACCCUCCUUUUAAUCAGUCCCUCCUUGAUUGACACUCCACACAAACAAACGCCUGGCUUCCCAAGACUCAACUUCCUCCUUCAGAAAGGUUCCCUUCCUUUGGCAACAGGUUUCCAGACUGCCUUUGCUUUACUUGCUAAGAGGAGGGGAAGAGGAAGGGUCAGGAGAAAUCCUCCAUCUGGGGUGGGGGGUGGGGGCCAGGAGAAGGAUGGGAUUCUAAAAUAAAGUUCAUUGCCCCACGCCCUGGAAAGAGGUGCCUUCUACAAUGAUCUCCCCACCCCCUCCACUGGGAAGAUGCCUUUGCAGUUAGUGUUCUGGCUGCAAGGGCAGGCUUGGAUAAGAGCGCCAGUGUUUAAUCUUUAACGCAAAGCUGCAGGUGGGAAGGAAAAGGAAAGCACCAAAUCCCCCCACCCGCCUCCCAGUCAAUAGUAGAUUUGGGGGGAGGGAAGCAGAGCCACCACAGACAGGUUUCUGUUCCAAUGGUAUACCCUGGUCACCUGCCCAAUCUGUACCCAAGAUUCGGAAAGGGCACAAGCUGGGGACCAGGGAGUUGGCUCCCAGCCCAUGUGGGUGUCAUUGUGCAAAUUCUAAAGUUGGUCCCUUAGGAUCAGCUGCAGGGGCUCGGGAAUCUGUAACAGCAACCACCCCACAGAGCGGAUUACAGGAACCAAGUGGAGAGCCCGGUUCCCAACAAUAAGGCUGGCAAGCUACGCCACUUAAGGAGGCCCCAUUAAAUCCUUCCUCGCAGAGCCCCUUGAGCUCAGGCCGGCAUUUUGUCCUCCAGGCCCCCCUCAACCCCCUCGGAAAACAGGUAAACGGGUCAAGCCUAGUACCAUUAUCACCCCAAAGUUUGCAGUACUGUAGGCGAUCCCAGAAGGAAGCCUGGACGAGCUGGGGCGAACUGAAGUCCUACUGCAAACCCGUUCUGCAACAUCCUUUUGAAUCACAACUCUUGGCCUUUUUCUCGCAGGUUCCCAGCCCUUCCACAUCAGACAUCCCAGUAGAGAUGUCGUCCGGAGACUCACUUCCCCAAGGGGAGCCCCUGCUGACCCCACUGGCUAGCGGUGUGGCUGGAGACUCGAACCCCUCCCGGCGACAGCGAGACUCAGAGCACGCACAGGCAAACCGAGCAGACCAGCGAAACCGGGCUCAAGCAGCACAUUACGGGCGACGGAAUCACCAAAAAAAAAAAAAAAAAAAAAAGGUCCCAGCAAAUGACCCGCAUCCCUCGGGCGGCCUCGCCACGCAAACUUCGCCCCCCAAAACUCUGAUCUCCAAAUUCCCAUGCAGUAGCCGCCAGGACCUGUUGAAACUCAAAGGGUGGGAAGGAGAGAGCCAAAUUCCUUUAAACUGGGGGGAAAGUAAGGCGGAAAAAAGAACCAUCUUGCCUCUCUUCCUCUCCUUCCUACUUUCCAAGACCUGAACUUUUUGAGGGUUCUUUCUUUAAGCAAAAGAGGAAAAAGAAAACUUUGAAAAGCGAACCCUCCCCGCCCCACUCUACCUUGCAUAAAACUUCACUCAAGUCGAAGAUGGUGGCAGACACGAGGGUGGUGGUCAUCCUGGGCGCUCGCACGGGGCAGGGACGAGGAUCUGGUGUGCCGCGAAGGUCCCGGUGCGGGGAAGGCGCAGCCUCCGGCUCUCCGGUCUGGAGUCCCACACGCCUGCUCCCGGCGCCCCUCGCCUUUCUGACUCUCCCCGACUGCGGCGCGCGAAGCCCAAUUUAUAAAGUUCAGAUUUGGUGGACCGGGGGAGGAGGAGCUUUAAACUUAUUUAAAUGAGGAAGAGGAGGAAAAAAAAGGUGAUUGACACUGAAGUUGAAUCAGCCAUGCGGUCAAACUCGGGAAGAAAAAAAAAAAGAAACUUUCAAAAGGAAGAAGGGGGAGGGGAAACGAGGAAAGAAGGCUAAGAAAAAAAAAAAAAAAAAACCAACUGCAAGCAGCGCACAACUUUUUUUUCUUAAAGAGGAAAAGUUUCGAGUCUCUCGCUUGGCUACCCGGCGCUUGGGGCGCCCCUCUGUGGGGCCGCGCGGCGCGAGGGGGAGGGGCGCCCCCCCUUUGUCAGCCUGCGAGCGCGGCUCUGUGACAUCAUUCAUUCCACCCUCUUCGGGGUUCUUGUUGUUGUGUUGUUGUUUUUUUGUCGGGCAGGAAGGCGGGCUCGACUUUCUCUUUUUGCAGGCGGGAGCAGAACCCGUCCUUAGCGCCCGGGCUGCGGUUUCCAUCUUGAGCAGAUCUCCCCUGAAACUUCUCCAAGUGCCCCCCACAACUUAACUCUUUUCCCGAGUUUUCUUCCGCACUCGGCUGCCUUCCGCAAACCAAGCAGGACCAGAACAUCGGGAAUUUGGGACGCAGAAAGCAUUCGGGUCUAAGGUUUUUAGUUUAGUUUAGUUUUUGUUUUGUUUUUUUCAGCAGGUCGUGGGGGAGGUAGAGUGGUGGGGGAAACUAGGGAGAGUUUUUCCCUGGGGGGGGGGGGGGGGACCGGGCCGGCUGGGAGAGCGCAGCACGGUUUCGCGCGCCACACGCGUCUACACUCUCCUGUGCUUCGCAACCGAACGGCGGGAGGGGCAGUAGCGAAAAAGACCACCGCCCGGAAGGAUUGCUUGCUUGUUUAACAGGCUUGGGAGUGGGAUUUAUUUCACGCAUGCAACCCUUAAACUUCUUCAAAAAGAAAACAUGAAUCCUCAUGAAUGUCCUUUCCAAUCCGCCCUCCUCGCCCCCCCUCCCGAAACACCAAUAACGCACAACUUUCCACGAGCGCUCUGAACUAUGGGACACACGCACACACCCGUAGACGCUUGAACAAUGAAAAAAGUUACUUUGGCAAGAAUGAAGGUAAAGAAAUGGGGGAGGCGACACUUUUAACUUCUUGUUGCUUCUCCCCCGCCCCCACGGGAACGGAACAUAUGGCUUGUCACGCUGCGCUGUUUGGGCGGGAUGGGGGGAAGGGGGCAUGAGAUCUUCCAACCCCCCCCCCAAUAGAUUAUUACUUCUUUUAAGACUGUAAUAUAUUUACUGUUAGCUUCAGAGGCCUCUCCUUCCACCCAAAUAAAAAGUUGUUAACGUGUCGCCCACGGCCCCCGGGUGCUGGAGCGAAGACCCAGGCGGAAA